GGCCUGAUGGUCUAGUAGUAUGAUUCCUCGUUCGGGAAACUCAACAUUUCCAGCGCUUUGUGAGCGUUUGUUUCGAGGAGGUCCCGGGUUCAAUUCCCGGUCAGGCCC